rnacentral:lncRNA from 1 species
UUGACCACCGUGAUCGCCCCAGGCUCGCCGAAGGCGGAGUCCACGUCAAAUUCCGCGGUGUACACCACGCGCUCUCCCUUCACGUUCUUCUUCUCGUACCAAUCCUUGAUCACCGUCUCGCCGCUCUUGUUCGGCUUUUUGGUUCCUGAGUUGCAGGGAGAACAAUUAGAGGCAUCAAAGAAGGAAAUUGGCUUUUUCUCUUGUUCUGGUGUCAGCAAAUCUACUGCCAACUGGAGAAGUUAAAAAGGGAAAAAACUAUGAUCUACAAUGAUUCCAUCUUGAAAAAGCCGAUCUGGAAGGACACAAUCGAUGAUUGUUCUUGAGGGAAGAGAGAAAAAGUACCUCCUUUUGGUAAAUAUGGGGAUUUUUUUAAGAUUGAAAAGAGUCAUCUUUGGAUUUGCUUUAUACUACAAAGAUCUGAUAACAGCACUAGAUCCACUUUAAAUCUACCAAAAAUCAAGUAAAAAGAGCUUGACCCCAAAAGAGUCUUAACUUUUUCUUUGUAUUUUUCCUCCUCCAUCUCAUCAAACAGGACGCAAAGUAGAGCUGGAGCUUGUGAUCCAAGAACCAAAAGCCAGAUCGAAAUGUUUCGAGGCUUACUUGGAUUGAUCUCCGU